UGGGGAAUAUUGGACAAUGGGGGCAACCCUGAUCCAGCCAUGCCGCGUGAGUGAUGAAGGCCUUAGGGUUGUAAAGCUCUUUUACCAGGGAUGAUAAUGACAGUACCUGGAGAAUAAGCUCCGGCUAACUCCGUGCCAGCAGCCGCGGUAAUACGGAGGGAGCUAGCGUUGUUCGGAAUUACUGGGCGUAAAGCGCGCGUAGGCGGCUUAUCAAGUCAGAGGUGAAAGCCCGGGGCUCAACCUCGGAACUGCCUUUAAAACUGAUACUCUAGAGUCCGGAAGAGGGUCGCGGAAUUCCCAGUGUAGAGGUGAAAUUCGUAGAUAUUGGGAAGAACACCGGUGGCGAAGGCGGCGACCUGGUCCGGUACUGACGCUGAGGCGCGAAAGCGUGGGGAGCAAACAGGAUUAGAUACCCCCGUAGUCC
rnacentral:rRNA from 1 species